rnacentral:tRNA from 1 species
AUUAGGAAGUGAAAAAUUACACACGGUUUCGGCCCGUGCCUUGGCGCUGUGCCCCUACUACU